AGGGUGACAGGUGGUGCAUGGUUGUCGUCAGCUCGUGUCGUGAGAUGUUGGGUUAAGUCCCGCAACGAGCGCAACCCUUGUCACUAGUUGCCACCAUUCAGUUGGGCACUCUAGUGAGACUGCCGGUGACAAACCGGAGGAAGGUGGGGAUGACGUCAAGUCCUCAUGGCCCUUAUGGGUAGGGCUUCGCACGUCAUACAAUGGUCGGUACAGAGGGUUGCCAAACCGCGAGGUGGAGCCAAUCCCUUAAAGCCGAUCGUAGUCCGGAUCGUAGUCUGCAACUCGACUACGUGAAGUCGGAAUCGCUAGUAAUCGCAGAUCAGCAUGCUGCGGUGAAUACGUUCCCGGGUCUU
rnacentral:rRNA from 1 species